UACGUAGGGCACAAGCGUUGUCCGGAAUUAUUGGGCGUAAAGAGCUCGUAGGCGGCCUGUUACGUCUGCUGUGAAAGCCCGGGGCUCAACCUCGGAAGUGCGUCUGAUACUGCAGGACUGGAGUACUGGAGAGGAGAGCGGAAUUCCCGGUGUAGAGGUGAAAUUCGUAGAUAUCGGGAGGAACACCAGCGGCGAAGGCGGCCACCUGGACGGAUACUGACGCUGAGACGCGAAAGCGUGGGGAGCAAACAGG
rnacentral:rRNA from 1 species